AUUGAACGCUGGCGGCAGGCUUAACACAUGCAAGUCGAGCGAGCGGCGGACGGGUGAGUAAUGUCUGGGAAACUGCCUGAUGGAGGGGGAUAACUACUGGAAACGGUAGCUAAUACCGCAUACCAUCAGAUGUGCCCAGAUGGGAUUAGCUAGUAGGUGGGGUAAUGGCUCACCUAGGCGACGAUCCCUAGCUGGUCUGAGAGGAGGACCAGCCAAACGGGAACGGAGACACGGUCCAGACGCCUACGGGAGGCAGCAGUGGGGAAUAGUGGACAAUGGGCGCAAGCCUGAUGCAGCCAUGCCGCGUGUGUGAAGAAGGCCUUCGGGUUGUAAAGAACUUUCAGCGAGGAGGCGUUACUCGCAGAAGAAGCACCGGCUAACUCCGUGCCAGCAGCCGCGGUAAUAC
rnacentral:rRNA from 1 species